rnacentral:rRNA from 1 species
GCUCAGAGAGAACGCUGUCGCUAGACCCAACACACACAAGUCGAGCGCCAGCACACUAAGAACUUGCUUUUACGGGUGGCGAGUGGCGGACGGGUGAGGAAUACAUCGGAAUCUACUUUUUCGUGGGGGAUAACGUAGGGAAACUUACGCUAAUACCGCAUACGACCUACGGGUGAAAGCAGGGGAUCUUCGGACCUUGCGCGAUUGAAUGAGCCGAUGUCGGAUUAGCUAGUUGGCGGGGUAAAGGCCCACCAAGGCGACGAUCCGUAGCUGGUCUGAGAGGAUGAUCAGCCACACUGGAACUGAGACACGGUCCAGACUCCUACGGGAGGCAGCAGUGGGGAAUAUUGGACAAUGGGCGCAAGCCUGAUCCAGCCAUACCGCGUGGGUGAAGAAGGCCUUCGGGUUGUAAAGCCCUUUUGUUGGGAAAGAAAUCCAGCCGGCUAAUACCUGGUUGGGAUGACGGUACCCAAAGAAUAAGCACCGGCUAACUUCGUGCCAGCAGCCGCGGUAAUACGAAGGGUGCAAGCGUUACUCGGAAUUACUGGGCGUAAAGCGUGCGUAGGUGGUCGUUUAAGUCCGUUGUGAAAGCCCUGGGCUCAACCUGGGAACUGCAGUGGAUACUGGGCGACUAGAGUGUGGUAGAGGGUAGCGGAAUUCCUGGUGUAGCAGUGAAAUGCGUAGAGAUCAGGAGGAACAUCCAUGGCGAAGGCAGCUACCUGGACCAACACUGACA